CCACCUCUUCCCCUAUACUUACAAACUUACUAGCUUUAACCGCCCCUUUCAUUCUCUUCUUCUUUUACUCUCUCUCUCUAACUCUGUCUGUGUAUUUAUAUAUAUGAAUAUGAAUCUAUCAUCUGUUCUCUUUCCUUAUUCACCUUUUGAUUGUAGUUUACUGAUUGCUUAAACUUUCUUCCUAUUUUUGCUAGCUACAAGUUUUAUCGGUUGGAUUCUUAAAUAUAUGGAGUCCAAACCUCCACAAGAUGCCCAGAGGAAGUAUAGGUUUAUGCCUGAAGCUCCUCCACGCCGAGUUCCAAAGCCGGAAGUUAAAACUGAAAAGGUGGAGAAUGUGGAUACUCUACAGGCCAUGAACUUGAUGAAGCAAUUCCAGGCAUGU